rnacentral:lncRNA from 1 species
GGAAUGUUAUUAAUCAUGUUUCUUAUGAUUAGUGAAUUUUUAUAUAUCUUAUUAACUUGCUUAUAUCUGAUUGGACAAAUUACAUUCAUUUGGGAAACAAUUGAUUAUCAUUUCACUGUUUUUCACACAAUCAAUCUAAUCAUUUCGAAUAUACUGACAUGUCUUAUAUGGGAUAUUAUAAUUAUACUAUAUCCAGACCCACGACAAACUGGGCAGCAUUCAUAUAGGAUCCAUCAAAGGAUUGAAGUCUAGGUUUCAAUAGCACCUGGAACAGAUUGAGCUUGGAUCUCUCUUAAAAAAUCUGGAAAUCCGAAAUAGAACCUUGUCUUUUCAGGUGGAAAUUUAGUAUACUGUUACUUAGCUAACUUAUAUCUUUGUGAUAUUUUUUUUUCAUAAUUUGUUUAGCCAACUGAAUUAUAAGUAAGUAAGUAAGUAAGUAAUAGAAAGGGAGGGGCCUAUGCAGCCCAAAUACCGCGACCAAUACAGGUCUAUUGUGCAUCCCUACCAAAUCAUCCCAGA